rnacentral:SRP_RNA from 1 species
GAAGAUUGGCUUCGGACAGUUUCCUCGCCAACUCGGUCAGGUCCGAAAGGAAGCAGCCGUAACGAGAUUAAACUGGGUCGAUAGUUCAGUCUUCCAC